rnacentral:rRNA from 1 species
AGAGCGAACGCUGGCGGCAGGCCUAACACAUGCAAGUCGAGCGCCCCGCAAGGGGAGCGGCAGACGGGAGAGUAACACGUGGGAACGUACCCUUCAGUUCGGAACAACCCAGGGAAACUUGGGCUAAUACCGAAUACGUCCGUAAGGAGAAAGAUUUAUCGCUGAAGGAUCGGCCCGCGUCUGAUUAGCUUGUUGGUGAGGUAACGGCUCACCAAGGCGACGAUCAGUAGCUGGUCUGAGAGGAUGAUCAGCCUCACUGGGACAGAGACACGGCCCAGACUCCUACGGGAGGCAGCAGUGGGGAAUAUUGGACAAUGGGCGCAAGCCUGAUCCAGCCAUGCCGCGUGGGUGAUGAAGGCCCUAGGGUUGUAAAGCCCUUUCGGCGGGGAAGAUAAUGACGGUACCCGCAGAAGAACGCCCGGCUAACUUCGCGCCAGCAGCCGC